AAGUAAAGUGGCGAACGGGUGAAUAACACGUAGGUAAUCUACCCUUAGAUUGGGAAUAACCUUGCUAAAGCGGGGCUAAUACCAAAUGAAGUUUUUGUGUUGCAUGAUGCAAAAAUAAAAGCUGUCUUUCGGGAUAGCGUCUAAGGAUGAACCUGCGUCCCAUUAGCUAGUUGGUAAGGUAAUGGCUUACCAAGGCGACGAUGGGUAGCCGGCCUGAGAGGGUGACCGGCCACACUGGGACUGAGAUACGGCCCAGACUCCUACGGGAGGCAGCAGUGAGGAAUAUUGCGCAAUGGCCGAAAGGCUGACGCAGCAACGCCGCGUGGGUGAUGAAGCUCUAAGGAGCGUAAAGCCCUGUUAGGAGGGACGAAAUAUAUUGAUGUGAACAAUAUCAAUGUUUGACGGUACCUCCAGAGAAAGCCCCGGCUAACUCCGUGCCAGCAGCCGCGGUAAUACGGGGGGGGCAAGCGUUGUCCGGAAUUAUUGGGCGUAAAGGGCGCGUAGGUGGAAUGAUAAGUCAUGGGUGAAAACCAUAGGCUUAACUUAUGGCCUGCCUGUGAAACUGUCAUUCUUGAGUGCGGAAGAGGGAAGUGGAAUUCCUGGUGUAGCGGUGAAAUGCGUAGAUAUCAGGAAGAACACCAGUAGCGAAGGCGGCUUCCUGGUCCGUAACUGACACUGAGGCGCGAAAGCGUGGGGAGCAAACAGGAUUAGAUACCCUGGUAGUCCACGCUGUAAACAAUGGGCACUAGGUGUUGGUCCGCCUGAGGCGAAUCAGUGCCGUAGUUAACGCAUUAAGUGCCCCGCCUGGGGAGUACGAUCGCAAGGUUGAAACUCAAAGGAAUUGACGGGGGCCCGCACAAGCGGUGGAGCAUGUGGUUUAAUUCGAUGCAACGCGAAGAACCUUACCUGGGCUUGAACUUGGGUUGAAAACCUCUGAAAGGAGGCUUUCUCUUCGGGGACAAUCCAAGAGGUGCUGCAUGGCGGUCGUCAGCUCGUGCCGUGAGGUGUUGGGUUAAGUCCCGCAACGAGCGCAACCCUUGCCCUUAGUUGCCAUCAGGUUGUGCUGGGCACUCUAAGGGGACUGCCCCGGACAACGGGGAGGAAGGUGGGGAUGACG
rnacentral:rRNA from 1 species